GGGUACUGUGUCCUGUUUUCAUGUCCUUCUGGUAUGAAAAACGUUGGAAGCUGUGACAAGAAUUUUAAUUGCUGCAAACUCAAAGAGGUGACAGAUGCUCACUGCAGCUCUACUUGGAGAAUCUUCAUUUCUUCCUUGAAUGCCACCUGACAAACUGCAUUAUCAGCUAAAGAACCAGAAAAUAAUCUCUCAUGUGAACUGUUUAAAAAUCUUUACUUCCAACAAGCUAUUGUGAUAUGCAAACAAGUAAUAAAGUAUCCCUCUGUGUCAAA